rnacentral:tRNA from 1 species
UCCCCAAUAGCUCAGUUGGUUAGAGCGGCGGACUGUUAAUCCGUAGGUCGUUGGUUCGAGUCCAUCUUGGGGAGCCA